CCUUCGGGUUUGAGUUUGAUUCGUAAAGCUCUAUAGUAGAAUUCCAUUUUAUUAUUAGGGUUACUAAGAAAUUUCUAUCUGCCCAUGGUAGCUAGCAAUAGUUAUCAAUCGGGUGAUCUACUGUGAGAAAAUUGUAGUGUUCAAAGCAGGCGUCUUACGUUUGUUCAAUGCAGCAUGGUAUAGUAAAAUAUGACACUAAAUAUAUGUUGGUUGUAUAUUCUUAGUGUAAUGACUAAUAGGGAAGGGCGGGGCCGUUCAUAUUGAUGGGCGAGAGGUGAAAUUCGUUGACCCUAUCAAGAUGCACUACAGCGAAAGCAUUCGGCAAGUACUUCUCCAUUAAUCAAGAACGAAAGUUUGGGGAUCGAAGACGAUCAGAUACCGUCGUAGUCCAAACCAUAAACUAUGUCGACCAGGGAUUGGACGGAUAAUUUUUUAAAAACUCGCUCAGAACCUUGUGAGAAAUCAUGAGUGUUUGGACUCUGGGGGGAGUAUGGUCGCAAGUCUGAAACUUAAAGGAAUUGACGGAAGGGCACACAAUGGAGUGGAACCUGCGGCUUAAUUUGACUCAACUCGGGAAAACUUACCAAGCUCAGAUAUAAUAAGGAUUGACAGACUAAAAGAUCUUUCAUGAUUGUAUAAGUGGUGGUGCAUGGUCGUUCUUAGUUGGUGGAGUGAUUUGUCUGGUCAAUUCCGAUAACGGACGAGACCUCUACUUACUAACUAGUGGUAUUUAUUUGGUCACUAUGGGAGAUAGUCAUUUGGUGUUGGUAGUUAGGCCGUUAAAAGUUUAGCUAUUCUUCAUUGAGUGGUGUGUAUUCUGAUCAGAUAGGUACUAAUUUAAAAAAUAAACUUCUUAGAAGGACUACCUACCUCAAGUGGGGGGAAGUCGGAGGCAAUAACAGGUCUGUGAUGCCCUUAGAUACCUUGGGCUGCACGCGCGUUACAAUGUAGGCGAGAAAAAGGUUUCCGGAAUCGAAAGGUUUCGGUAAUCAUUUGAAUUGCCUACGUAAUGGGGAUUAAUUUUUGUAAUUAUCGAUUAUCAACGAGGAAUUCCUUGUAAGCGUAAAUCAUUACUUUACGCUGAAUAUGUCCCUGCCCUUUGUACACACCGCCCGUCGCUCCUACCGAUCGAACGAUUAGGUAAAACUGACGGACUGGAUGACUUUUUCGCAAGGAUUUGUCGUUUGGGAAGUUAGUUAAAUCUCAUUGUUUAGAGGAAGGAGAAGUCGUAACAAGGUAUCCGUAGGUGAACCUGCGGAUGGAUCAUUU
rnacentral:ncRNA from 1 species